UACGAAGGGGGCUAGCGUUGCUCGGAAUCACUGGGCGUAAAGCGCACGUAGGCGGAUUGUUAAGUCAGGGGUGAAAUCCUGGAGCUCAACUCCAGAACUGCCUUUGAUACUGAAGAUCUUGAGUUCGGGAGAGGUGAGUGGAACUGCGAGUGUAGAGGUGAAAUUUCGUAGAUAUUCGCAAGAACACCAGUGGCGAAGGCGGCUCACUGGACCGGUAUUGGACGCUGAGGUGCGAAAGCGUGGGGAGCAAACAGG
rnacentral:rRNA from 1 species